UACGAAGGGGGCUAGCGUUGUUCGGAAUUACUGGGCGUAAAGCGCGCGCAGGCGGCUAUCCAAGUCAGUGGUGAAAGCCCGGAGCUCAACUCCGGAACUGCCAUUGAAACUGUUUAGCUUGAGGAUGAGAGAGGUGAGUGGAAUUCCCAGUGUAGAGGUGAAAUUCGUAGAUAUUGGGAAGAGCACCGGUGGCGAAGGCGGCUCACUGGCCCGGUACUGACGCUGAGGUGCGAAAGCGUGGGGAGCAAACAGG
rnacentral:rRNA from 1 species